rfam:Nicotiana sylvestris Nsyl_contig28225, whole genome shotgun sequence.
CGCCUCGAACAUACCAGCUAACGCACCGAAUCCUUCAGAACUUCAAAGUCAAGCAUGCUUGGGCGCGAAUAGUACUUAGACGGGUGACCUCUUGGGAGUCCUAGUGUUGCAUCCU